rnacentral:rRNA from 1 species
UACGUAGGGGGCAAGCGUUGUCCGGAAUCAUUGGGCGUAAAGAGCGUGUAGGCGGCCCGAUAAGUCCGCUGUGAAAGUCCAGGGCUCAACCCUGGAAUGCCGGUGGAUACUGUCGGGCUCGAAUCCGGAAGAGGUGAGUGGAAUUCCUGGUGUAGCGGUGAAAUGCGCAGAUAUCAGGAGGAACACCAAUGGCGAAGGCAGCUCGCUGGGACGUUACUGACGCUGAGACGCGAAAGCGUGGGGAGCAAACAGG